AAAAGGAGUAUUAGGGCCACAGAGGAAAGGAAGAGAGGAGAGGAGAAACAGCUAAAGGAAAGCUUAAGGCCAGUGUCUAUUAUUUACCUGUCAUUCUGCUGGAUAAUAUUUUCUGCCACCAAAUGGUUGGGUGUUACGGAAAUAAAAUGAUUUAAUUUGGAGGAAUUUGAUUGAAGCAGUGUGGACAAUGUGAGUCUGCAAAAAAAGAGCCCUCGCUGGUUUCUGAAGGAUUUCCAGCUGAGUAAGUUUGCCACCUGAAGCCUUCACUUGAAUGUGGAUCUUCCUUAGCUCCCAGAAACUGGGUCUGUGGCUGGCCCCGGCAUGUUCCCAGACCCACACAAGCUCCU